CAGGGACAGUGGGGGAGCAGGAGAAAGAGUAGAAACAUGUCUAUAGGAUUGGUCCCAAAGGGGCAGUACUUAGUUCUGCUUUCCUGUUUUUGCAUUUUAUUGUUUCCUUAGGAUA